UCCCCUAGUAACUGCGAGUGAAGAGGGAAAAGCUCAAAUUUAAAAUCUGGCAGCUUCGCUGUCCGAGUUGUAAAUUAGAGAAGUGUUACCCGUGUUGGACCGUGUACAAGUCUCCUGGAACGGAGCGUCAUAGAGGGUGAGAAUCCCGUCUUUGACACGGACUACCAAUGCAUUGUGGUACACUCUCAAAGAGUCGUGUUGUUUGGGAAUGCAGCACUAAAUGGGUGGUAAAUUCCAUCUAAAGCUAAAUAUUGGCGAGAGACCGAUAGCGAACAAGUACCGUGAGGGAAAGAUGAAAAGAACUUUGGAAAGAGAGUUAAACAGUACGUGAAAUUGUUGAAAGGGAAACGCUUAAAGUCCAGUCGCGUUGGGUGGAAAUCAGUCUCGCUCUUUUGCUUGAUGUACUUUCUACUUGAUGGGUCAACAUCAGUUUUGACCGUUGGAUAAAGGUUGGGGGAAUGUGGCACCUUCGGGUGUGUUAUAGCCCUUGAUUGUAUACAACGGUUGGGACUGAGGCAUCACGCCGCAAGGCGCUUGGAUGUUGACAUAAUGGCUUUAAUCGACCCGUCUUGAAACACGGACCAAGGAGUCUAACAUGCUUGCGAGUAUUUGGGUGGUAAACUCAUAUGCGCAAUGAAAGUGAAAGUUGAGAACUCGUUAGAGUGCAUCGACGCCCAUACCAGAUGUUUUACUGACGGCUAUGCGGUAGAGCAAGUAUGUUGGGACCCGAAAGAUGGUGAACUAUGCCUGAAUAGGGUGAAGCCAGAGGAAACUCUGGUGGAGGCUCGUAGCGAUUCUGACGUGCAAAUCGAUCGUCAAAUUUGGGUAUAGGGGCGAAAGA
rnacentral:rRNA from 1 species